GACGAACGCUGGCGGCGUGCUUAACACAUGCAAGUCGUACGGUAAGGCCCUUUCGGGGGUCCACGAGUGGCGAACGGGUGAGUAACACGUGAGUAACCUGCCCACAACUUUGGGAUAACGCUAGGAAACUGGUGCUAAUACUGGAUAUGUGCUCCUGCUGCAUGGUGGGGGUUGGAAAGCUCCGGCGGUUGUGGAUGGACUCGCGGCCUAUCAGCUUGUUGGUGGGGUAGUGGCCUACCAAGGCGGCGACGGGUAGCCGGCCUGAGAGGGUGACCGGCCACAUUGGGACUGAGAUACGGCCCAGACUCCUACGGGAGGCAGCAGUGGGGAAGAUUGCACAAUGGGCGCAAGCCUGAUGCAGCAACGCCGCGUGCGGGAUGACGGCCUUCGGGUUGUAAACCGCUUUCAGCAGGGACGAAGCUUUUUGUGACGGUACCUGCAGAAGAAGCACCGGCUAACUACGUG
rnacentral:rRNA from 1 species